ensembl:rRNA 5S_rRNA 5S ribosomal RNA
GUCUACGGCCAUGGUACCCUGAACAAGCUCGGUCCCGUCUAAUCUCGGAAGCUAAGCAGGGUCUGGCCUGGUGUAUUUAUUUGGAUGGGAGACCACCUAGGAAGACCAGGUGCUGUAGGCU